UUCAUGGAGAGUUUGAUCCUGGCUCAGGACGAACGCUGGCGGCGUGCCUAAUACAUGCAAGUCGAGCGGACAGAUGGGAGCUUGCUCCCUGAUGUCAGCGGCGGACGGGUGAGUAACACGUGGGUAACCUGCCUGUAAGACUGGGAUAACUCCGGGAAACCGGGGCUAAUACCGGAUGCUUGAUUGAACCGCAUGGUUCAAUUAUAAAAGGUGGCUUUCAGCUACCACUUACAGAUGGAC
rnacentral:rRNA from 1 species